rnacentral:rRNA from 1 species
UACGUAGGGCGCGAGCGUUGUCCGGAAUUAUUGGGCGUAAAGAGCUCGUAGGCGGCCUGUCGCGUCCGCUGUGAAAACCCGGGGCUCAACCCCGGGCCUGCAUUCGAUACGGGCAGACUAGAGUUCGGUAGGGGAGUCUGGAAUUCCUGGUGUAGCGGUGAAAUGCGCAGAUAUCAGGAGGAACACCGGUGGCGAAGGCGGGACUCUGGGCCGAUACUGACGCUGAGGAGCGAAAGCGUGGGGAGCAAACAGG